CCUACGGGCGGCAGCAGUGAGGAAUAUUGGUCAAUGGACGAGAGUCUGAACCAGCCAAGUAGCGUGAAGGAUGACUGCCCUAUGGGUUGUAAACUUCUUUUAUAAAGGAAUAAAACGAGGCACGGGUGCCUUUUUGCAUGUACUUUAUGAAUAAGGAUCGGCUAACUCCGUGCCAGCAGCCGCGGUAAUACGGAGGAUCCGAGCGUUAUCCGGAUGUAUUGGGUUUAAAGGGAGCGUAGAUGGGUUGUUAAGUCAGUUGUGAAAGUUUGCGGCUUAACCGUAAAAUUGCAAUUGAUACUGGCAGUCUUGAGUACAGUUGAGGUAGGCGGAAUUCGUGGUGUAGCGGUGAAAUGCUUAGAUAUCACGAAGAACACCGAUUGCGAAGGCAGCUUACUAAACUGUGACUGACAUUGAUGCUCGAAAGUGUGGGUAUCAAACAGGAUUAGAUACCCGAGUAGUC
rnacentral:rRNA from 1 species